rnacentral:rRNA from 1 species
AACGAACGCUGGCGGCGUGGAUAAGACAUGCAAGUCGAACGAGAGAAUUGCUAGCUUGCUAAUAAUUCUCUAGUGGCGCACGGGUGAGUAACACGUGAGUAACCUGCCCCCAAGAGUGGGAUAGCCCCGGGAAACUGGGAUUAAUACCGCAUAAAAUCGCAAGAUUAAAGCAGCAAUGCGCUUGGGGAUGGGCUCGCGUCCUAUUAGUUAGUUGGUGAGGUAACGGCUCACCAAGGCGAUGACGGGUAGCCGGUCUGAGAGGAUGUCCGGCCACACUGGAACUGAGACACGGUCCAGACACCUACGGGUGGCAGCAGUCGAGAAUCAUUCACAAUGGGGGAAACCCUGAUGGUGCGACGCCGCGUGGGGGAAUGAAGGUCUUCGGAUUGUAAACCCCUGUCAUGUGGGAGCAAAUUAAAAAGAUUGUACCACAAGAGGAAGAGACGGCUAACUCUGUGCCAGCAGCCGCGGUAAUACAGAGGUCUCAAGCGUUGUUCGGAAUCACUGGGCGUAAAGCGUGCGUAGGCGGUUUCGUAAGUCGUGUGUGAAAGGCGGGGGCUCAACCCCCGGACUGCACAUGAUACUGCGAGACUAGAGUAAUGGAGGGGGAACCGGAAUUCUCGGUGUAGCAGUGAAAUGCGUAGAUAUCGAGAGGAACACUCGUGGCGAAGGCGGGUUCCUGGACAUUAACUGACGCUGAGGCACGAAGGCCAGGGGAGCGAAAGAGAUUAGAUACCCCUGUAGUCCUGGCAGUAAACGG